ACAUCACGUUGAAAACACCGGUUACCGUAAGAUCCCUGAAGUUAAGCAACGUAGAUUCUUGUCAGUUUUUAGAUGGGUGACCACUUGGGGAUACUAGGUGUUGUAAG